rnacentral:rRNA from 1 species
GACGAACGCUGGCGGCGUGCUUAACACAUGCAAGUCGAACGGAAAGGCCCUGCUUUUGUGGGGUGCUCGAGUGGCGAACGGGUGAGUAACACGUGAGUAACCUGCCCUUGACUUUGGGAUAACUUCAGGUAACUGGGGCUAAUACAGGAUAGGAGCUCCUGCUGCAUGGUGGGGGUUGGAAAGUUUCGGCGGUUGGGGAUGGACUCGCGGCUUAUCAGCUUGUUGGUGGGGUAGUGGCUUACCAAGGCUUUGACGGGUAGCCGGCCUGAGAGGGUGACCGGCCACAUUGGGACUGAGAUGCGGCCCAGACUCCUACGGGAGGCAGCAGUGGGGAAUAUUGCACAAUGGGCGGAAGCCUGAUGCAGCAACGCCGCGUGCGGGAUGACGGCCUUCGAGUUGUAAACCGCUUUCGCCUGUGACGAAGCGUGAGUGACGGUAAUGGGUAAAGAAGCACCGGCUAACUACGUG